AGCGACUGUGCAGGUUACCGCGGCUGCUGGCACGGAGUUAGCCGGUGCUUCUUCUGUGAGUGAUGUCCUUCCUGCCGGCUAUUAACCCGCAGGCCUUCUUCCUCACUGAAAGUGCUUUACAACCCGAAGGCCUUCUUCACACACGCGGCAUGGCUGGAUCAGGGUUGCCCCCAUUGUCCAAUAUUCCCCACUGCUGCCUCCCGUAGGAGUCUGGGCCGUGUCUCAGUCCCAGUGUGGCUGAUCAUCCUCUCAGACCAGCUACGGAUCGUCGCCUUGGUGAGCCGUUACCUCACCAACCAGCUAAUCCGACAUAGGCUCAUCCGAUAGCGCGAGGCCCGAAGGUCCCCCGCUUUCCCCCGUAGGGCGUAUGCGGUAUUAGCCUGGGUUUCCCCCAGGUUAUCCCCCACUACCGGGCAGAUUCCUAUGCCAUUACUCACCCGUCCGCCGCUCGCCACCAGGGAGCAACGCUCCCCCGUCGCUGCCGCUCGACUUGCAUGUGUUAGGCCUGCCGCCAGCGUUCAAU
rnacentral:rRNA from 1 species